UACGGAAGGCAGCAGUGGGGAAUAUUGGACAAUGGGCGAAAGCCUGAUCCAGCCAUGCCGCAUGAGUGAAGAAGGCCUUCGGGUUGUAAAGCUCUUUUAGUGAGAAAGAUAAUGACGGUACUCACAGAAGAAGUCCUGGCUAACUCCGUGCCAGCAGCCGCGGUAAUACGGAGAGGGCUAGCGUUAUUCGGAAUUAUUGGGCGUAAAGAGCGCGUAGGCUGAUUAGUAAGUUAAAAAGUGAAAUCCCAAAGCUUAAACUUUGGAAUUGCUUUUUAAAAACUGCUAGUCUAGAGAUUGAAAGAGGAUAGAGGAAUUCCUAGUGUAGAGGUGAAAUUCGUAAAUAUUAGGAGGAACACCAGUGGCGAAGGCGUCUAUCUGGUUCAAAUCUGACGCUGAGGCGCGAAGGCGUGGGGAGCAAACAGGGAUUAGAUACC
rnacentral:rRNA from 1 species